rnacentral:rRNA from 1 species
GUGAGGAAUUUUCCGCCAUGGGCGAAAGCCUGACGGAGCAAUGCCGCGUGAAGGAUGAAGGCCUAUGGGUUGUAAACUUCUUUUCUCAGAAAAGAAUUAUGACGGUAUCUGAGGAAUAAGCAUCGGCUAACUCUGUGCCAGCAGCCGCGGUAAGACAGAGGAUGCAAGCGUUAUCCGGAAUGAUUGGGCGUAAAGCGUCUGUAGGUUGUUUAAAAAGUAUUCUGUCAAAGAUUAGGGCUUAACCCUAGAUAGGCAGAAUAAACUUUUAAGCUAGAGUUUGGUAGAGGCAGAGGGAAUUCCCGGUGGAGCGGUGAAAUGCGUAGAUAUCGGGAGGAACACCAAAGGCGAAGGCACUCUGCUGGGCCAAUACUAACACUGAGAGACGAAAGCGAGGGGAGCAAAUGGGAUUAGAUACCCCUGUAGUCC